AGGGCUUUAAUGGGUCCAAAACCUGGAUCCACAAUGCUGGAAUACUCCUGGAUAGGGCACCGGUCCAUACACGCUCACACAUAGGGGUGAAUUUAGUGUGAGGAGCACACAGAGAGCCGCAGAGAUGUGGGCUGCAGAUACAUCCUCAAUAGAGCGCUGCAGUCACAGAGGUAAUGGGGAAAAUGUCACACUGGAGAGGAGGCUUCAGGACUAGCUUCCCUUUUACUGGCUAGCUUUUGUGAGUGGAGGCAUUUACAGAGAUAUUUUAUUACACUAAAGAUGAUUUAAACAAAGGUGUUCUGUUUAUAAAUUUACAAUUCCUUUUGUUUUGUUCAAAAUAAAUCUGUAUAUGCGGCA